AGGUACAACGCGUCCACUGCGGUUGUGAGCGCGCCGUCCGCGCCCACCUGACAGCUGCUCGCGGCGUGUUGUUAGAA
rfam:Xanthomonas oryzae pv. oryzae KACC10331, complete genome.